rnacentral:rRNA from 1 species
AUUGAACGCUGGCGUCAGGCCUAACACAUGCAAGCCGAGCGGAUGACGGGAGCUUGCUCCUUGAUUCAGCGGCGGACGGGUGAGUAAUGCCUAGGAAUCUGCCUGGUAGUGGGGGACAACGUUUCGAAGGGAACGCUAAUACCGCAUACGUCCUACGGGAGAAAGCAGGGGACCUUCGGGCCUUGCGCUAUCAGAUGAGCCUAGGUCGGAUUAGCUAGUUGGUGGGGUAAUGGCUCACCAAGGCGACGAUCCGUAACUGGUCUGAGAGGAUGAUCAGUCACACUGAAACUGAGACACGGUCCAGACUCCUACGGGAGGCAGCAGUGGGGAAUAUUGGACAAUGAGCGAAAGCCUGAUCCAGCCAUGCCGCGUGUGUGAAGAAGGUCUUCGGAUUGUAAAGCACUUUAAGUUGGGAGGAAGGGCAGUAAGCUAAUACCUUGCUGUUUUGACGUUACCGACAGAAUAAGCACCGGCUAACUCUGUGCCAGCCGCCGCAGUAAAAC